rnacentral:tRNA from 1 species
AAGAUUUUAAGUUAACUCAAACUGUAUGCCUUCAAAGCAUAAUAUAAUAAUAUUUAAAUCUUA